rnacentral:ribozyme from 1 species
GUUGCUCAAAUCUUCACACACCUCUACGUGGUGAGUAGCAGACAACGAUCUAUUCUGAUCGGCUGAGAUGUGAAG